rnacentral:rRNA from 1 species
UCUCACCUGGAUUUUCACUGAAGCUAAGCAGGGUUGAGCCUGGCUAGUACCUGGAUGGGAGACCUCCUGGGGAAAAACUAAAGAUUAGUGAGGC